rnacentral:rRNA from 1 species
AUUGAACGCUAGCGGGAUGCUUUACACAUGCAAGUCGAACGGCAGCGCGGACUUCGGUCUGGCGGCGAGUGGCGAACGGGUGAGUAAUGUAUCGGAACGUGCCCAGUAGCGGGGAUAACUACGCGAAAGCGUAGCUAAUACCGCAUACGCCCUACGGGGGAAAGCAGGGGAUCGUAAGACCUUGCACUAUUGGAGCGGCCGAUAUCGGAUUAGCUAGUUGGUGAGGUAACGGCUCACCAAGGCGACGAUCCGUAGCUGGUUUGAGAGGACGACCAGCCACACUGGGACUGAGACACGGCCCAGACUCCUACGGGAGGCAGCAGCGGGGAAUUUUGGACAAUGGGGGCAACCCUGAUCCAGCCAUCCCGCGUGUGCGAUGAAGGCCUUCGGGUUGUAAAGCACUUUUGGCAGGAAAGAAACGUCGCGGGCUAAUACCCCGUGGAACUGACGGUACCUGCAGAAUAAGCACCGGCUAACUACGUG